CAUUUGAGAGCGCCCUCUGGCGGUAUCCUCCAGGUGUUUACAAAAACAGUGAUUACAUCAGAACGCUAUUUCAAAGAUGGCGGAACGCCUGCUGCCGUUCACAUGCAGGUCUGCAACAGCUCCAACUCGGCAGAAACAGGGAGUGUAGGCCCGUUCCCAUGCAGGCGUCGAAGUCCGGUCGUCUCCGAGCAGCGGUCAAAGUAAAACUAUGGAGGUGGGAGCAGAAACAUCCUAAAGGGGGCAUAAGGAGAGCAAGCAGGAGAAGGAAGGUCAGGGGUCAUCCCAGGUCCAACCCAUGGGGAGAGCUGCAGGAUCCGGCCGGGUUAGAAGGACAAGUGUUCGGACCCC